AGUGGACACGAUUAAACAUCACAGCACAUAGCCUAGUCUUCUUUCUAUAACUGUCUUUUACUUGUGUUUCUGUAUUUUGAUAUAUUCUCUUUCACAUUUGUAAAAUAUAUGUAUUUCUUCUACUUUAUCUUCUAGUUCACUGGAUUUUUGUUGGUGGUGGUUUUCAUUGCUAGAUACAAAACCCAGAACUCUGUGCUCACCAGGCAAGAGCUGUACACUGAGCUAAAGCCCCACGCUUUCACCUAUUUCUCUGCUAGGUUGAUAUAUUAAACUCUUCAGUGUGGGGAGGCCAAGUGACUGUUAAAGGUUGUUAAAACGUAUACACAAGAAUAGCAGCCACACAUCUCUAGGAUUUGAAUGGUAGAACCAGAUGCAUCUGCAUGCAUACAUUCAUGUAGUACGCAUCUUUACAAUGGAGACAAUGGCUGUAUCCACCACAGAAGCUUCCUGGUUUUGGUUUUUAACUAGAAUUUGAUUCUGAGGCAGUUGAAGUUUCAUAUGUGGCUAUAAGAAAAAAUAAAUUCCAUUAUCUCUUAGCCCUAUUUCCACCACAUGGAACCAUCUUUAAAACUGGAGUUCAGUGUCACAACUAGGAUAUCAACAUUGGUGAUGCUAUAGCAUGGCACUUCUCCAUUACCUUGUAGAUCCAGCAUACUACUCUUUUAUGAAUGUGGUCCAUUCCCCUCCUGCCUUUACAGGCACUAGUUCAGUGGUUUUGUCAUUACAAUGAUAUUAUAGAAAUAUGAUAUUAUAUUUUAAGGUCUUUUUUCUCCUCUCAGGAGAUGUGUCUGGAUAGCUAGAUAAAUUAAUAAACUAAUUGUAUUUUUAUUACUGAAAAUAUUUCUUUGACCGUAAUUACCACAGUUAUUUAACCAUUCACCAAAGGAUACCUUGGUUGUUUUGUUGUUUAGGUAUCACAAAUCACACUGCUAUAUACAGGUAUGUUCGGGUUUUAGUGAACAAAAGCUUCUAUUUUUCUGAGGUGAGUGUUUGGGGGUUCAAUUGUUGGGUGGUAAAAAGGUCAGGUUUUAAUAAAAAUCACUGCCCUGUUCUUCCAGGGACUGUAUCACUGUCAGUCCUACCAGGAAUGACUUUACAGCCCUACCUGGGAUUUGGCUUCACAGACCCAUCAAACACGUCAUGUCACUGGUUUUGACUAUCAGCUCUUUGGUGCAUGUAUUAUGCCUCACUAGGGUUUUAGAUGGUUUUGUCCUAAUAGCUAAAGAUCUUAAACCUUGUUUUUCAUCCUUGCCUGGCACUUCCUUAUGUUGUUUGGAGAAAUGUGUUGUCAUGUUAUUUUUCCAUCUGACAACGGAAUGGCUUGGUUGCUUGUUGAGUUCUUACAGAGUUUUAUCAACUUUAGGUUCAAGUAUAUUAUUGGGUAUGUGGUUUGCAAGUACUUCCUUCUCCUGUCUUGUAUGUUCAGCCACUUUUAUGUUAAGGUAGGUGUGUCUCAUCAGCAUUUACUUUUAUUAAUUACUUGUUAAAUCUUAAAUCUAAGAACUCUGUAUAUACUUGGAGAAUGAAUUUCUUCCCUUUUUUGUUGUUGUUUCUACUUUGACUUGGACAUUACCUAGAGUUAGGAGUGAAGAACUAGUAUCCUUUACUUUAUAAUAUUAAUAACCUGGUAGAGAUAGCAAUUGAAAUGUAAUAAUCUUUUUAGAAACCUGAGACAUCCUUUUCAUAUUUUGAUGAACUUUACUGGAUGAGCUCUAUUUUAAGUCGUAUCUGCUUUGCUAUUAUACUCUGGAUGGCAUGGGGUGCAUCAGAUGGUAAUGGACAGAGAACAUGGCAUUAAGUGCAUCAUAUGGUAAUAGACAUGAGAAUGGAAGACUUGUGCUUGGAGUUUUACUCUAGAUAAGAAGCAAACAUUUUACCUUUAUUGGUGUUUGAAUUGUAAUUAAUUUUCAACAAGUUAGGAAUAAUGACUGAAAAAUGUUGUCUCCUUGGAAACUGGAACCAAAUACUUCUAAAUCUCCCAAACAAAAUUACUGGGUAUAUUAUGCUACACACUGUAGCUAAAGGAUGAGUU
rnacentral:lncRNA from 1 species